rnacentral:rRNA from 1 species
UACGGAGGGUGCAAGCGUUGUUCGGAUUUAUUGGGCGUAAAGGGCGUGUAGGCGGUUCGUUAAGUCUGAUGUGAAAGCCCCGGGCUCAACCCGGGAAGUGCAUUGGAAACUGGCGAACUUGAGUACGGGAGAGGGCAGUGGAAUUCCUAGUGUAGGAGUGAAAUCCGUAGAUAUUAGGAGGAACACCGGUGGCGAAGGCGGCUGCCUGGACCGAUACUGACGCUGAGACGCGAAAGCGUGGGGAGCGAACAGG